UCUAUUUAUAUAAUUUUAAUAAUUUUUAUUUCUACACUCAGUUUAUCCAUUUGAUUCGCUGAAAAACGAAUGGCUGUGACAAAGCGAGCUUGCCCUUAGUCACCAUUCUUCUUCAACUGAUUCGAACGAGCCUCAGUGGAAGAAGAAUUGUUAGCUCAAAUGUGCCAUCAAAAGCACAACUCAAACUAUGAAGGGGAAUCAGUUAAUUGCAAUGCUUAUAUCCACAUCACUAAGCAGAAGGAUAAAUUGAUCAUCACCAUAGACUUCUUCUGCCCAAUGUUUUGGUUUCUCAAUGCUUUAGUCAGAAAUAAGACCCAUUUUCUGUGCUUCCAGUGAUCUAUUUACUAGACUCUUAAUAUAUAUCACCAAUCUUGGAUGUUACUAGACUACUUUCAUUAGUAGAGAGAGAAUCUUGGUUGAGGUUUCCAA